rnacentral:rRNA from 1 species
UACAGAGGUCCCGAGCGUUGUUCGGAUUCAUUGGGCGUAAAGGGUGCGUCGGCGGCGGGGCAAGUCUGAUGUGAAAUCCCGGGGCUCAACCCCGGAACUGCAUUGGAUACUGCCUUGCUAGAGUACUGGAGAGGGAACUGGAAUUUACGGUGUAGCAGUGAAAUGCGUAGAGAUCGUAAGGAAGGCCAGUGGCGAAGGCGAGUUCCUGGACAGUUACUGACGCUGAGGCACGAAGGCCAGGGGAGCAAACGGG